rnacentral:rRNA from 1 species
UACGUAGGGUGCGAGCGUUAAUCGGAAUUACUGGGCGUAAAGCGUGCGCAGGCGGUCUGUUAAGACCGAUGUGAAAUCCCCGGGUUUAACCUGGGAACUGCAUUGGUGACUGGCAGGCUUUGAGUGUGGCAGAGGGAGGUAGAAUUCCACGUGUAGCAGUGAAAUGCGUAGAGAUGUGGAGGAAUACCGAUGGCGAAGGCAGCCUCCUGGGCCAACACUGACGCUCAUGCACGAAAGCGUGGGGAGCAAACAGG